GGGGGUAUAGCUCUAUGGUAGAGCGUAUACUUAGUAUGCAUGAGGUCAUGGGUUCAAUCCCCAGUACUUCCA
rnacentral:tRNA from 1 species